rnacentral:lncRNA from 1 species
AGCUGAGAUUAUAAUAGUAGUUACGUUACCACUAUGAAAAUAUAAGCAAAAUCCCUUCAGAUUCAGCUAACCAAACCAAAAAUAAUAACCUCUUGUUUCCUGUAUCGCAUAAGGGUUCCCAUACUGUAGAGCUGGCUGUGCACCGGACAGCACCAAAGUACGCCCAUUUUGCUCCGAGCAUGCGUUGAGACCCUGGGAGACAUGCUGAAGACUAUGACCUUCCCUUUUCCGUUCUGUUUGGUUUUCUACCCUUUUAAGUUCCUUCUCGUCCUUUUCAGUCUUCAACUGACAUUCAAGUUGUUCUCUUUCAUACUCUGCCUUUCUGAGUUUGUCCUUUAAACUGAGUCAAGAUAUAGAUAAAUCAAACUGAGUCAAUGUACAGAUAAAUCAAAAAAAUCUUAUUAAAACAAGGUUAAAUUAUUUUUCAAAAGCAUCAUAAAUACCUGUCUAAUUCAGUUUCUUUUUCAAUUGCUUUAUGUGUCACUGAUACAAUAUCUUCCUCAAGCUGGAGAGCUUUAGACGUAGCAUCACUGUAUCGCUUCUUAAACUCUUCAUUUUCCAUUUUUAAAUUUUGUGACACUUCAAUAAGACCCUUAGAAACAAGGUAUGUGAGGAAAGAUCAGUAAAGCAUCUUUGUCUAUUUUCAGCAAACCUCAACGUCUUUGUUUUUCGU